CCGAAUCCAACAUCAUAUUCCUUAACCUCAUUUCAGUAAGUUUAUGGGCUUUUGUAUCUAAGUUUAUGGCACAGAUAAGUGGAAGAUUAAUGUGGGAUUCCUCCGUUUUUUUUUCCCUUUAAUUCCAGGCACCAAAAGGAGUACAUGUAGUCUGUAAGCGUUUCCCUAAAAUAAAGAUUGUGACAUCUGAGAUUGAAGUUGGAUUAAAUGAAGAUUUCCGUGUUAUCCCAGGCAUGGGAGAGUUUGGUGACCGAUAUUUUGGCACAGAUGAUGAUUGAACCCCGAUCGUCAGCCACUGGAAAGAGUACUCUGCUGAAUUUAAUGAACCAGUGAUGCAGCUAUUGCUAGAUUCUGAAAAAGUUUUGACUGUUUUUCCUUUAAAAAAAAAGGCAUUUCUCAUAUGCUUUUGCUGAUUCAUAAGAAAAACAUAGGAGGAGGAUAGAAAAUCAAUCAACUGCAGGUAGCAGGAUGUAUGCGAUGCAUGUCCUACUGCGUGCAUUGUCUAUUGUUGUCCUGGCAUUUUAUAGGUGUUACAUGUGCCAGUGUUACGUCCUUAAAGGGGCAAUAUUUACAGGACACUGCAAAUUUCCUACCCUCUAUAGUUGCUGUUCGUUCAAACAUUGGCAUGCAUGGCACUGCCAAGUUUUCUGGUGGCGUUAUUUCUCAUUUCAGGUGAACUUUGAAGCGUUCUUAUAACAGUCAUCUUGUAAGUCAAAAUUGCAUGUUUUCAAUGAAAAGAAACUGCGAACUAUCCAAAGAAAGAUUAGUUCCUCCAACCUCCUUAGGGGGGGGGGGGGUGGCUGAAAGAAAGGUCGAAAGGGUUGUGAUGGUCAGAGAAAAGGAGCCCACCAAAUCUCUUGGGCGCCGGAAACUCUUCCUUGGUUUCUUGAGUUCUAGUUUUGGUUUUCCUGGGAAGGAAGGCUUGGGACCCCGGGGUAUUAAAACUCUUUUGGAGGCUCCCAAAUGAACAAAUUUGGGAUGAGGGAUCAGUUUGCACGGUUAGCUUCCCUAGACACUGAUUUAAUUUCUUGCCAAUGCCAAACAGCGCGCCAUUUGGCAAUCAGAUUGAUCACUCGUUCCACUAUCCCUACAUGAUAACUUUCGUUGGGCUAAUAUCAGGACACGUGGUGAUGACGGAGGUAUAUUCCGUUAAGGUUAUCUAUAUAGAUUGGUUCUUCUGGACGUGCACCAUUGUUUCUAAUUUGUGUUUGUUCGCUUGACCCGCUGCUGCAUUAUCCUUAACGAAAGCCAAACAAUCAUGUCGGCCUCUGUGGGAAAGUAUGCCGGUGCGCACACCCUUUCUUCCUCUCUUCAACCCCUUAUCAACUUUUAUACGUCUGCAUGCGAUCCCGUAUCCAUGUUGCAACAUUUAUUUAAUAUAUAUGAUGACAAACUCAACCUUUUAGCUUCACCUAAUAUGAAAUGGGACUUUUCCAGGGGGUGGCCUGGUUUCCCUGGCUGAUGAAACGUACUUUCCUGCGUCAAAUAGAUUUAAAUGUGUUUGGCUUCAUGCAUGCAGUCUGUAAAUCUUUUGCUGCACGUGUCAGUGAGCUUCGGUAUUGCCUGGAUGAUGGAUUCCACUCUGUUUAUAUUCGUUCUGUGUAUUCUUUACGCAGUUAUUUGUUAGACAAAUUUCUAUUGCGUGUCAUCUAUAUAUGUUAUUACUCGUGAAUGCAUCAACAGAGCAUGGAGCUUUAUUUCUGACUCGAAAAUCUUUGCUGUUGCUUGUACAGAAGAACUCAUCAAGACUGCCAACUACAUUGCCAGCCCUGGGAAGGGUAUUUUGGCAGCUGAUGAGAGCACUGGCACUAUUGGCAAGCGUUUGGCUAGCAUUAAUGUGGAGAACAUAGAGUCUAACCGUCAAGCUCUUCGUGAGCUCCUCUUCACCUCACCAGGGGCCCUGGCUUGCCUCUCCGGCGUAAUACUCUUUGAGGAAACCCUUUACCAGAAAACAUCAGACGGGAAGCCCUUCGUUGAAGUCCUUCAAGAGAACAAUGUGGUUCCCGGGAUCAAAGUCGACAAGGGAGUUGUUGAACUGGCAGGGACAAAUGGUGAGACUACCACUCAAGGGCUUGAUUCCCUUGGAGCUCGUUGCGCACAGUAUUACAGGGCAGGUGCCCGUUUUGCCAAGUGGCGCGCAGUCCUGAAAAUUGGUCCUACUGAGCCAUCGGAGCUAUCCGUCCAGCAGAAUGCACAGGGUUUGGCUCGCUAUGCCAUUAUCUGUCAAGAGAACGGACUUGUCCCAAUUGUUGAGCCAGAAAUUCUGACUGAUGGAAACCAUGACAUUAAAAAAUGUGCGGCUGUUACGGAGAUUGUUCUUGCAGCCGUUUACAAGGCCCUGAGUGACCACCAUGUUCUUCUUGAAGGAACACUCUUAAAGCCUAACAUGGUCACGCCUGGCUCUGAUAGCCCAAAGGUAAUGCCAAAGCCAUACAUAGUUUGAUUAUACCUUGGACUAGUAUGUAAAUAUAAGGUUUGUUUAGAUUGUAUUUUAUUUGCAAAUUUUUAUUUACGGCAUCAUCAACACAUUUUCAAUCUUUUUUUUUUUUAAAUCUCGGAUACAUCACAUUAAAAGAAGUACUAUAAUAUAUAUUUUUUUUAAAAAAAAAUUAUUUCAAAUAAUUUACUAUCUAAACACACUUAAUUUGGCUGCGACAGUGCUAAUGGACAUUUCUCUAGUAGGAAUAUGGCAUGGAGUUAAUUAACUUAUUAUUGUCUACUUAUGAAGCCAAUCCAAGAGUGACGUCACAUAUCCUGUACCUAGCCACACCAAAAGUGAGCUUAAUUGCUAACAGGGAAAUAAUCUAUUGAUAAAUAUAGAGCGCCUUGAGCGUGAUGACAACCAAUGCAAAUGCUUGAUCUGUUUGACAGGUGGCACCAGAAGUAAUUGCCGAGUACACCGUUACAGCACUGCGCCGAACUGUUCCAGCGGCAGUGCCAGGGAUUGUAUUUCUGUCAGGUGGACAAAGUGAGGAAGAGGCAACGCAAAACCUGAAUGGGAUGAACAAGUUGGAGGUGCUGAAGCCAUGGACACUCUCAUUCUCGUUUGGGCGUGCUCUGCAGCAAAGCACGCUCAAGAUAUGGGCUGGCAAGAAGGAGAACGUGGAGAAAGCUCAAGAUGCAUUUUUGGCAAGAUGCAAAGCUAAUUCGGAUGCUACUCUUGGGAAAUAUGCUGGUGGAAGUGCUGGUGGAUUGGCCUCAGAGAGUUUGUACGUGAAAGAGUACAAGUAUUAGGUUUUCUCCCUCUUGUGGCGUCUAGCAGAGCAAGGGGAUUGACUGCAAAAUGCCCAAGUGUAUUCAUUUGAAUGAUGUCUCCACUUUACGUCCUAGCAAAGUACAAAUCCUUGUUCACACUAUCAGAGUAUAUAUUCUGCAUAUUACUAAUGAAAUUAAUCUCGCCAACUCUACACUUGUGUUACAAUCUUCUCUGUAUGUCAGUCCUACAAAUCGUGGAUUGUAGUUUUAUUUGAAGUUGAAGAGCUAGAUUUCUUACUUGGACUGCUUUGCAUAGACAACAUAGUUUGUUGUAUGUUUAAUACUACACAAACCUAAAUUUCACGCCUUGAGAAAAUUCUUGCUCUAGCGUCAGGGUUUGUUUGGAUUGAGCAUUAUUUUUUCAAUUUUAUUUGCUUAUAUCAUCAUUACAAUUUCCAAUACACCUUUUUAUCUUCCCAAUUACCUUUUUAUCUCACAUACAUCACGUCACAAAAGGUGCUACAGUAAAAAUAUCCCAAAUAACUUACAAUCCAAACAAACCCGUGUAACAUCAACUUUUGAUAGAACACAUCCUCUAAUACGUUGAGCAGUCCUCUUGAACCAACCAUAUCCUCUACCAGAAGCAUGUGUACAUAGCGGACACAUAUGGAGGAAAAUGUUGGGCUGCAUGCUUUCUUUGGUAAGAAAAUUUGUUAUCGCACGACAUAGUAAAUUACAAUUGAUCUUCAUAGAAUGCUAACACGCUAUGAAUUUUUCCAAAAUCCAACUGUAGUGGGGCAAAUCUGCACGUGACACAUGUCAGCUCGGCAGGUUGUACGCGUCAGGUCGAUGGUGGAGACCUCACAACUCGCAGGCGCUAGCUCGGCAUGUGGAUGCCAGCUCGGCCUUACCUGUCGCUCUCUGAGAUGGGCCUAUGGGCCGCCGCCUCCGAACUUGUAGGAGCCGCCGCACGAAACCCUAAGAAGACUCCGAACCCUACGGGGAUUCUGACUCCCACAAGGAAACUACAACCCACUCUGCCCUAUAUAAACCAUGCCUAGGGACGAUGCAAGGUACGCACUCACAAGUAUUCUAAACCAUUACUUUGUGGACAAUCAUCACUGACUUGACCGUCGGAGUUAUUUCAGGGACGCCGGUCCCGCCAUUUUUCCCCCUUCACAGGACCCAUUGCUCGGCUCACCCUCUCAGGUCGGCUACCCCUGACCAGCUCGGCUCGCAACCGUUCAGCUCGGAUCCGGUUUUUGGCUGUCGCAUCAAUUGGCGCCGUCUGUGGGAACCCGAAAUUUAUCUCUUGCGAGUCAUGCCAAGAACGAGAUCGCAGAGGAAUGCCGAUGGGUCCAAGGGGAAUGGAGGAAGCGGUCCCCAUCAGUCUGCCCGGAGUCCGACCCCUGGAGGUGAGGGUGUGGGAGCCUCACGGAUCCCGCCAGAGCAAUUGGUUCAGGUGGUAGCAGGGAACCUGCCCACUUUUGAGGCCAUUGUGAAUUACCUCAAGGGGCAGACGGGAGGACAUCUGGGCCAAGGGCCAAAGAACCUGGAGGAGGGUCCAACCGAGUCCCGGACUGGGAGCCCUAACCCCCAGCUCAAGCGAGUGCGCCAGGAGCCCACGCGCGAGCACAUCGACAUCGGGGAGCCCUCUCACAAGCACUCCCGAACUGAGCAUCCGGAGCCUGUCCGGAGGCACUCUAAGGAGGAGCUCUAGCCUCGGAAAGAGCAGCUCCAGGUGCAGGACGAGCUGGACCUACUCUUGGACACAGAGGCAGACAGGUACAUCGCUUCCCCUUUCGUGCCUGAUGUUGAGAACUAUCCGUUGCCUACAAAGUUCAAGAUACCUAGCAUGAAGUCUUACGAUGCGACUACGGAUCCGGAGGACCACUUGUUUGCCUUCUUGACCCAAAUGCGUCUUCAAACUGCCGCCGAUGCGGUCAGGUGUAAGACUUUCCCAAUGUUUUUGGAGGGCAAGGCACGUCAGUGGUUCCAGGGGCUUCCCCCCAGGUCCAUCCGGUCCUUUGCCCAGCUCGCGCGGUUGUUCGCGGCCCAAUUCGUCUCGUCGCGCGCCUUCUCCAAGAGUACUGCUCAUCUGAUGACUAUUCAACAGAAGCCAGAGGAGUCCCUACGCGAAUACAUGGUGCGCUUCAACAACGAGUCCCUUCAGGUUCGAGAUCGCGACGACAAGGUGGUCAUGGCAGCCUUCAUAAACGGGCUGCGCAAGCAGAAGCUCUACACCGAGCUUGUGGAGAAACCUCCCAAAUCAGUUUAGGAAAUGCUAGACCGAGCUCAUGAGAAGGCCAACGCGGAGGAGGCCAACCGCCUAAAAAGUGUGCAGGAAAGGCUGAGAGAUGACAAACGUAGGAAGGGCGCCGAUCAGGUGGAUGCACGGACUGGGCUGGCAAGGAAGACCUAUGACCGUCCCCCCAGGAACCGCCCCCUGGGCGGAGACAAACCUUGGACUACUCUCACUGCGCCCCGAACUCGGGUCCUCGCGGUGAUGGAGCAGGAGGGGCUGUCCCGACCUCCUCGACCCCUGGGUGGGGACAAGAGCCGACGUGACCAGGGUCUGUACUGUGCGUAUCACCGAGAUGUGGGACAUGACACGGAAGACUGUCGUCACCUGAAGAAAGACAUUGAAAGGUUAAUAAAACGGGGGUACCUCGGUCAGUUCAUAAGGGAGGAACGAUCUGACCAACAGCGGGGGAGGCCCAGGUAGGAGCGACAGGGCCACACCCGGGAUCGACCUCAGGGGCCCCGCGGCCGAACUCCCGAGCAGGAAGUUCAAAACCUGGCCGGGGUAAUUAACACUAUAGCUGGAGGACCUGUAGGAGGGGAUAGUCACACAGCUCGGCGGCACAAUCGCCCUCCUCCUUUGGGGGAGAGUUCAAACAAGCGAUUGAAGAUGUAUAAGGAAAUCAUUUACGGACCUGAGGAUGCAGUUCCUUUGGCCUCCAAUAAUCAUGAAGUCAUUGUGAUAGAAGUCGUCACUUGUAACUACAAGGUGAAAAAAGUAUACAUAGACAAUGGAAGUGCUAUAGAUGUGCUGUAUUACAAGACUUUCAAGGAGUUGCAGCUGGAGGAUAGGCAGCUCAUCCCAGUGCGAACUCCUCUGAUCGGGUUUGCAGGCCCUCCCGUGAGGCCGGAGGGAAUAAUAACCCUCAUGGUCACAGUGGGGGUCUCCCCAAGGUGCCGGACCGUUCCAGUAAACUUUGCGGUGGUGAAAGAACCCUCAUCAUACAACAUGAUCCUGGGACGGCCUACCCUGAAUGCCCUCCGAGCUGUUUGUUCCACUUUGCACCUCAAUAUGAAGUUCCCCACUCCGGAUGGGGUGGCAGAGGUGCUCGGAGAUCCGAAAGUAGCCAGGGCCUGCUAUAUUGCCACCCUUAAAGGCAAGGAGAAAUUGGUGAUCCAAACUACUUGUUUAGAAUCUUGGGAGCCCCUGAGGAAGGGGGAAAGGUUGGAGACAGAUGAAGGGCUGGCCGAGUUGCCUGUCCGCCUUGACCAGCCUGAGCGCACGGUCAAGGUCGGCACCUGCCUGGGCGAUUCAAUUCGGCAUUCCUUGCAAACUCUCAUAGAAGAAUACGCAGAGAUCUUUGCAUGGAGUGCGGAUGACAUGCCAGGGGUCCCGACCGAUCUGGCCGUUCACAGGCUGCAUGUGGACCCUAGCGUCCGACCUGUGAAGCAGAAGAAGAGGAGCUUUGCUCCUGAGCGAAAGGAGGUCGUCCGUGACGAGGUGAGUAAGCUGCUGGAGGCUAAGAUCGUUAAGGAGGUCUACUACCCGACCUGGCUGGCCAACCCGGUGCUGGUCAAGAAGGAGGAGAAGGCUUGGAGGAUGUGUGUGGAUUUCACUGACUUAAACAAGGCCUGCCCAAAGGACUGCUACCCACUUCCACGGAUUGAUCAGCUUGUGGAUUCAACAGCGGGUUAUGAGAUUUUCUGUUUCUUGGACGCUUUCAAGGGGUAUCAUCAGAUAGCCCUGGACGAGGAAGAUCAGGAGAAGACCUCGUUUAUCACUGAGGACGGCACGUAUUGUUAUGUUACCAUGUCAUUCAUGCUAAAGAAUGCAGGCGCGACCUAUCAAAGGUUGGUAAACAAGUUGUUCAAAAAUCAGAUCGGCCGGAACCUGGAAGUUUAUGUUGAUGAUAUGUUAGUCAAAAGUCGAACCCCGGAACAGUUCUUCUCUGACCUGAGGGAAAUUUUUGAGGUUCUCCGGAGCUCACGAAUGCGGCUAAACCCAAAGAAAUGCACCUUUGGGGUCAGGUCGGGAAAAUUCCUCGGCUAUAUGAUUUCCAAAGAAAGGGUGAGGGCUAACCCGGACAAAAUCAAGGCUAUUAUGGACAUGGCACCACCUCGGAAUAUUAAGGAGGUGCAACGGUUGACUGGGAGGAUGGUGGCCUUGAACAGGUUCCUGUCUAAAUCGGCAGUUUGGGGGUCGCCUUUCUUCAAGGCCCUGAAGGGAGGUCGGCAGUUUGAAUGGAGUUCGGAGUGCCAGAAAGCGUUUGAUGAGCUAAAAGAGCACCUCGCUCGGUUACCAGCCCUGACCUCGCCCGAGUUGGGAGAAACCCUGUUCAUCUACUUAGCUGCGGGAGAGGAGGCCAUUAGCGCGGUACUGAUUCGAGAGGAAAACAAAGUCCAGAAACCCGUAUACUAUGUCAGCCGCUUCCUGCAGGGAGUCGAGGCAAGGUAUUCGGCUGUAGAACGGUAUGUUUUGGCAUUAGUACAUGCAGCUCGGAAACUCAGGACGUACUUCCAAGCUCAUCUUGUGGUGGUUAUGACGGACCAGCCCCUGAAUCAGAUCUUCUUCAAGCCCGAGUCCUCGGGUCGAAUGGUGAAAUGGGCGAUGAAAUUAUCAGAGUACGAUCUGGGAUAUCAGCCUAGGACAGCCAUCAAGGCCCAAGCAUUGGCGGACUUCAUAGCAGAUGGCGUUUCCUUUGGACCGCCCGAGGCAGACGUCAAUCAGGCUAAAGCCUUACAGACCCCGAAAACUACCAAAACCACACAGACCCAAGAAGCAGCAGAGGUCGCAAAGGCCGGAGACGCUGCCGAGGUCACCCAGGUCGUCCAGGUAGCAGAGGUCGGAUUGCUUGAUGAGGCAGCUAUGUCCCAGCAGGCCGAAAAAGCCCUCAGGAACAGACAGGUCGGAGAAGCAGCUGAGGCCGAACAGACUCGCGAGACUGUCAAGGUCGGGGAGACUAAGGAGGCAGCUGAGGUCGGACAGGCCAUAGACGCUGUCGAGGCCACGUAUCCUGGAAAAGUCGUUAAGACUGAACUGGCCAGAGAGACUGCCCAAGAGGUUACCGAAGCUGUAAGGCGAGCUGAUCCCGUCUGGACGUUAUACGUGGAUGGCGCGUCGAGCAAAGAAGGAUGUGGUGCUGGACUCCUCCUAAUCAGCCCCCCUGGAGAAGAGCUACCCUAUGCACUAAGGUUUGAUUUCAGAGCCUCUAAUAAUGAAUCUGAGUAUGAGGCUCUAAUUGCAGGAAUGGAGAUGGCCAGGAAACUAGGUGCCAGGUCGUUGAAAAUUUUUAGCGACUCGCAGCUGAUAGUGAACCAGGUAGGGGGAAGCUACGAGGUCAAAGAGGGGGCGCUGAAAAAAUACGUGGCCAAAACACACAAACUGAAGGGCCUGUUCGAGCAGUUCGCGCUGGAGCAAAUCCCGCGGAGCCAGAACAAGAGAGCUGAUGCCUUGUCCAAACUGGCCUCCACUUCGGCUGGCAUCCUAGGUCGGGAGAUAGUGGUGGAGAUCGUCAGAAGUCGUGUGUAUGACCAGGUCAGUACUGCGGUCAUCCAAGUGGUGAGCUCUUGGAUGGAUCCUAUUGUUCGAUACUUGGCACAGGGGGAGCUCCCCCCGAGCAGGAUAGAGGCCCGCAAAAUUCUCCUUAAGUCACAGAAAUACACGCUCGCGCAGGGAGUCCUAUAUAGGAAAUCCUACUUGCAGCCCUGGCUGAAGUGUAUAACCCCAGAGGAUGGGAGCUAUGUCUUGCGUGAACUGCAUGAGGGCAUCUGUGGUAAUUACGUGGGUACCAGGGUAUUGGCCAAGAAGGGAAUGCUGGCCGGAUACUAUUGGCCCACCAUCUUCAGAGACUCGGCCGAGCUGGUUGCUCGGUGUAAGUCUUGCCAGCUACACGCUCCAAUUCAUCACACUCCCACUCAGGAAAUGAUCCCGCUUAACAGUCCGUGGCCGUUCUUUCAGUGGGGAAUUGACCUGCUAUGACCAUUUCCACGAGCUCCAGGGGGAUAUGAAUAUUUGGUGGUAGCUAUUGAUUACUUCACCAAAUGGGUGGAGGCUGAGCCUCUCGGUACGAUCAGCAGCAGGUCGAUCCAGAAGUUCCUGUGGAAAGGUAUAGUUUGCCGAUUUGGCAUACCUAGGGCUCUCGUCUCGGAUAAUGGCCGACAGUUCGCGGAUCGUUCGCUCCAAGAAUGGUGCACUGAGUUUGGUAUCCAGCAGCACUUCACUUCAGUAGGACACCCCCAGACCAAUGGACAGGUUGAGAAUGUUAACAGAACUAUCCUGCACGGUUUGAAGACAAGGAUAGAAUCUGCUCGGACGGGUUGAAUAGACGAGCUGCCCACUAUACUAUGGGCUUACCGGACUACGCCUCGGACGGCUACUCAGGAAACUCCAUUUGCUCUGGCCUAUGGGAUGGAAGCAGUGAUCCCUGCGGAAAUUGGGUUGCCAUCAUCCAGGGUACAGCACUUCGUGGCCCAGAGCAACGAGGAAGGAAUGCGGCUCGACCUGGACCUGCUCGAGCAUAGAAGGGAAGAAGCAGCUAUAAGAAUGGCUAAGUAUAAAGGCCAGGUCGCGCGUUACUACAAUGCCAGGGUAAGGCACCUCUAUUUCAAGCCAGGAGACCUGGUGCUACGCAAAAAUUUCGUAAGUCGAGCUGUGGGCACAGGCAAGUUAGACCCGAAUUGGGAAGGCCCUUAUGUCGUAAAGGAAGCUGACCGAGCAGGUUAUUGCAAGCUAGCUCGUCUGGAGGGAGGCGAAGUCCCACGCACUUGGCACAACUCAAAUUUAAGGCUUUUCCUUUAAUAUCCUGACCGAGCUGCUAGUAGCCAGCUGGACAGGUCUGCUUUUGUUUUAUUAGUUCGGCAUUUGGAAUUAUAAAUGUAGUCAAACUUUGGAAUAAAAAGAAAUUUUUACAAGUGUUAGGAAAGAAAAAGGCCACAUAUAUUCCAUAUCACAAAGCAUGUACAGGUGAGGGGCCAUACAAAAGCGAGCUGGCCAGUUCGGUUCCUAGCCUAGCCUAAACCCUACAAGUCUGGGUUAUGCCCUAUUUGCUCAACUCUCCCCUUGCUGUUCUUGCUCUGGCUCUGGGGAGAGUGCGGGAAGAGUCGGGUCGGCAAUCAAGGCAGUCAGGUCGCGGCCAUUGGAAUAGCCCGUGACAAGCCUGUCAAUUUGGUUGGUGGAUUGGGGGUUGAAGUCAGGCCAUUUGCUCAGGUCAAAACCCGGCAACUUCAGGGACUCCACAUCCAUCAAGGCUUUCGUGUAGCCGAGUUGCAGGACAGGGCCGUUUAGGAGGGCCAGGUCGUUCAUGAAGCCCUCAGACUUCUUGAACUCUUUGACGCCUAGCUGGCGUCCUUCUUCCCUUGCCGCCUUCACCAGCUCGGCAGAUUUUUUCUGCUCUGUCUCCAGAGUCGCAGCCAGUUCGGCCGCUUUCUUCUUUUCCAAUUCGCAGGAGGAGUUGGCAUCUGCAAGUUGCUUCUUCAGGGUCUCCAGCUCGGUCUCUGCAGCCUCGAGCUGGCUCGACAACUUCUCCUUGGCAGCGUCAACCUGGGACAGGUUGACCCCCAUGUUCUCAUACCGCUGGGCCAGCUCGGCCCCCGCAACAUUGAGCUGCAUGGCAGUCAUAGGAUAAGUAGGCAGCAAAACUCGGAAGGAUGCCAAAGAAAGUGCUAGUUAAGGAGCUACCUGGGUGGUGCUGAGGUAGAAGUGCUCUAGCAGCUCGGCAUUGAAGGCAAGUUGGAUGAAAUGGUGAUCGCAGGGGAGUACCGCGCCCUUGACGAGCUCCUUUGCCACUUCAGGGAACUGAGCUCGGUCGUUCACCGACAACCUCCACUUCGGGCAGAAAUGGAGGGGGUAUGGGUGUGAGCCCAGUUCGGUAGGGGGUUUCAUGGGAAUCACAUUCCUCAUGCGCCACAUAGCGGGGGGAGAUUGUGACGAGGCCUGCUGCUCGGCGGAGCUCACCCCGUAAUGAGAGGUAACAGCAGUAGAGGGCUCCUCCUGGGACUGGGGGGAAGCCGCCUCUGUCCUAGCCUUCUUAGCCGUGGACUUCUUUCUUUUCUUCUUUGGUCCCUCCCCCAGUGAAGAUUGAGCGGCAGUCUGGGGAGUGGACACAGGUGGAGGUAGAGGAACCGCGCUGCUCGGCGCAGUGGAAGGCGCAGGAGUUGGCGUACUCGCGCUACCAGCUCCGCCAAUGUUCAGCAGCUGGGAAAACCUCUUCACUGCAAGGCAAAAAUACUUAGUCAGUUAGGAUGAUGUGGACUCAUGGAAGGGAGGAGGUCGAGAAAAUUACAAGCUAUCAGCUCCUCGGGGGUGAUAGGUCGGAGAUCGGGGGCAGGGUCGUUCACCUCUGCUCGGAUUAGCCCCGCCGACCAGAGCUGGGCAUUGUUAAAUUCCUUCACCUUUAGUUGAGCUUCCGAGCUAACCAAGCGGUCUAGCUCGGCCUCGGGCAAAGGAGAAGGGAUUGGAUCGGUUACCUGGGUAUCCUCCCUCCAAGUUAGGGGAGGAAACCCAGUAUUCUUCACAAAAAAGAACUGGGCUUUCCAGCCCUUGAUGGAAGAAGGCAUAUGAGUGAACAGCUCGCGGGUAGGGAGUUCCCCUCCGCUCCUACUAGCGAAGUAGAACCAACCAUGAACUGGGCCGCUUACCUUCAUCUGAAAGAAGGACCUAAAUAGGUUCAGAGAAUAAGGGAUCUCAAGAGCUCGGCACAAAAUAAAGAAGCCGAGAAUGGACCGAAUGGCGUUGGGAACGACCUGGGUGAUUCGAAUGCCCCAGAAGGUUAGAAUGUCAUAAAAAAAUUGGGGAAUGGGAAGGCGAAGACCAGCCACGAGCUGAUCCCUGUAGAUAACCACAAACCCAGGGGGAGAUUGGCAAGCGUACUCCCCUGGCCGGGCUACCCUAGCCUCGAACUGGGGAAGAAUGUCAUAUCUCCCCACCAGCUCGUCUACGUCCCCCUGAUCGAGAAGGGGAGGAAUAAUUUCGACUUCUCCAAAGUCGAUGUCUGGUCCCCUAGGUGGUCCUACCCUAGAGCGAGCUGGAACUACCUCUAGGGGAAUCCCUGGGACAGCAGCUCCAGCCCCGGGCUGAGCAGAUGGGCCAGGUUGGUCCAUGGCUAUAGCAAGAGGUGAGGCUGGGGGAGGAAGGUAUUCAGAAUCAGACGAGCUGGAAGAAGAAGAGCUGGAAGAAGGUAUUUCUAUGAGUACAGGUCGGGUAAUCCUACGCCUAGGUGCUGAGCUGGUAAGGUCUGAGUGUGUGGAGGAAGACGACAUAAAAGGAAAAGGAGGACUUACUGGUGGAUAAAGGAGAAGAGCUGGGAUGUGCUUAGAAGGUAAUCCUACUCUCGGACGACCUCACGGAAUGCGGAGCGAGCUGAAGAAGACUGGAGGAGAAGAGAAAAUGAGAAGGAAGGCUUGAAAGUGACGUUUGGUGGGGCCUAUUUAUAGGCUCCCUGGGCGGGAAGCCGAAGAGUCCUGAGGAAGAAAUUCGAAUUUAUUGCAAGGGGGCGGUUAUCUUGGAAGACGCUUGAGCUGACAAACCUCCAUCAAGAAGGACGUGACCCUUGACGUGACGGUUACAACGACGGACGUGGCAGUUUUUCGGAGAAGGUACGUGAUCGUGGGAUCGUGGGUCCCGCACGAAGCCGACGUGACGCUUCGAAAUUUGGUCCAGACCCACGUGACUCAUCAGUGACUCUAGACUCAAGGGGGCUAGUGUAGUGGGGCAAAUCUGCACGUGACACAUGUCAGCUCGGCAGGUUGUACGCGUCAGGUCGAUGGUGGAGACCUCACAACUCGCAGGCGCUAGCUCGGCAUGUGGAUGCCAGCUCGGCCUUACCUGUCGCUCCCUGAGAUGGGCCUAUGGGCCGCCGCCUCCGAACUUGUAGGAGCCGCCGCACGAAACCCUAAGAAGACUCCGAACCCUACGGGAAUUCUGACUCCCACAAGGAAACUACAACCCACUCUGCCCUAUAUAAACCAUGCCUAGGGACGAUGCAAGGUACGCACUCACAAGUAUUCUAAACCAUUACUUUGUGGACAAUCAUCACUGACUUGACCGUCGGAGUUAUUUCAGAGACGCCGGUCCCGCCAUUUUUCCCCCUUCACAGGACCCAUUGCUCGGCUCACCCUCUCAGGUCGGCUACCCCUGACCAGCUCGGCUCGCGACCGUUCAGCUCGGAUCCGAUUUUUGGCUGUCGCAUCACCAACCUUUUUAUCAACUGAAGAAGGGGAAAAAUUAGAAAUCGGCAAUGGAUAGUUUCUACAUGUCAUGAAGGCUUCUUGGCUUUGGGGGGGUUGGACUUGCGCAAAGGAUUUUGCGCUCUGGUAAAUGGCGCAACUAAAGACGCAAUCCGGAUGACCACGCUUUCCGGUCAGGAAAUUGAUGGCCCGUUCAUUGAGGGAUCAAGGGUCCUCAUCACUCAAUUGGGCCAGCCCUUUUCACGCAUCGUGAUCAAGGCCUGCCCAAAACUACCUCUUCUCCCCAUACUGCACAAGGAGGGGGACCGGCAUCUGAUUUUGAUUAAUGUAUCGAUCUAAGUUGAAUCAUAUUUUAUUCCCAGAAUAAAAGUUCCGUAUCAAUAAUUGACCCUUAGACUUGAGAAGCCGAAAUUGCAUUCAGCAGCAGCUGCAGUUUCAAUUUUUGUGGUCAAUGGUGAUUCUGGUUUCUGGUAGAGACAUUUGUGUUGGCGAUUUUGUCUUUUUGUCGUACCAUUGAAUCUUCUUCUUUUGUAUUUCCAUCUGCUGGGACAUCACAUGAGAGCAAGAACAACAAUUCAAGCCCUCAGCUCGUCUCCUCCCUUUCCUCUCUUCAACCCCAAAGCUUCCCUUCAAAAUCUUAGUUUGCGAAUUCCAAUCCCUGUCCCUCUUUUCUGUUCCCAAAUCGAAAAACCAAUGUCAAUUUCCCCUUCUUUUCGCUUAUUCUCCACUAAAAACCCACAUUUGCUCGCGCGCCGCCCACGCUAUUCACCAGACUCUGAAACCCCCAAGAUUGCAUCUUUGCACUCAGAACCCGCAAAUCUUUUCUUCUCUAGGCCUAUUACAAUUCAAAGAAUACCCACAAAGCCAAUAUUUUCAACACCAUCAGCUUCCCCAGCGGCCACUCUCCAACCCAUUGAAGAGCUGCCCCCGAAGCUCCAAGAAAUCAUCAAACUUUUCCAGGCCGUUGAAGAACCAAAGGCCAAGUAUGAGCAGCUCUUGUUUUAUGGAAGAAAUUUAAGGCCUUUGGAUGGUCGGUUUAAGACCAGUGAGAACAAAGUACAAGGCUGCGUUUCGCAGGUAUGGGUCAGAGCAUACCUUGAUUCGGAUAAAAAUGUAGUCUUUGAGGCUGAUUCUGAUUCAGUUCUUACCAAAGGCUUAGCUGCUUUGCUUGUUCAAGGCCUUUCAGGCCGUCCUGUGGAGGAGAUUUUGAGAGUUACACCUGAUUUUGCGGUGCUUCUUGGGUUGCAGCAGAGUCUUACACCUUCUAGGAAUAAUGGGUUUUUGAAUAUGUUGAAAUUAAUGCAGAAGAAGGCCUUGCAAUUGUAUUUGGAAGCUCAAAAGGCGGAAGAUUCGGUUGGUCAGUUAUCUGAAAGCCCGGAUGAAAGCUCGAUGUCACAUUCGGGAUUAAACAAUGACGGUGGAAAUGGGGAUGUAAAGAGUGGAGUGAGUUCUGAAGAAGAUGUUACUGAUUUGAAAUUGGAUUCUGGUAAUGGUGGUGCAUUGGGGAGUAGGGGGAUGAGGAUCAAGGCGAAGUUAGUUAGUGAGCUGAAGCCUGUAGAAUUGGAAGUUGAAGAUAUAUCUUAUCAGCAUGCUGGGCAUGCUGGGGUUAAGGGCAGUGAUGGGGAGACACAUUUUAACGUCAAGGUGGUGUCGGAGGAGUUUGAAGGUAAAAGUUUGGUUAAAAGGCACAGAUUGAUAUAUGGUUUGUUGCAAGAUGAGUUGCAAAGUGGACUGCACGCUUUGUCUAUUGUAGCAAAGACACCAUCUGAAGUUAGUAGUAGCUAAACCAUUGGGGUUGAAUGAGGUUUUGUACUUUUUUUUUCACUUCUCCAUUCCUGUUUGUUUUUCAUUGCUUUAAGCUAUGCUGAUGCUUUAGACUGUUGAUACCAU
rnacentral:lncRNA from 1 species